UGUGAAGAACUGAAGAGAGACGGCCACUUUAUUUUACUUCAGCUAUCUACAGGCAAAACAGCUGCCUGAGAACCAGCAGCAGCUAGUCUGACCUGCUCUUCUAAUACUGGAAAGGCGCUGCUGUCUGAACUACAAUAAUAAAGACACACACAGAUGGACACAAUCACUUCAAAUGACAAGCAACUGUGUGGAAUCUUCAGUGAUAUCACUGGUUGUGUAGAAAGACUCCUAAUUUCUCCUGAUGGAGUUUGUCCUUCAAGAAGCCAUUCAUUACCUGAGAAAGAAAAAAUAAAUCAUUAAGAUCAUAAACAUUUAUAUAUAAAAAUAAAGUCUCUUUUGUUAUGCCUU